ACCUGACUGCUAUCGGAUUGAUACUAAGCCAUGCGAGUCAUUGUAGCAAUACAAGGCAUACGGCUCAGUAACGCGUAGUCAACCUAACCUAUGGACGGGAAUAACCUCGGGAAACUGAGAAUAAUGCCCGAUAGAACAUUAUGCCUGGAAUGGUUUAUGUUCCAAAUGAUUUAUCGCCAUAGGAUGGGACUGCGGCCUAUCAGUUUGUUGGUGAGGUAAUGGCCCACCAAGACUAUUGCAGGUACGGGCUCUGAGAGGAGUAGCCCGGAGAUGGGUACUGAGACACGGACCCAGGCCCUAUGGGGCGCAGCAGGCGAGAAAACUUUGCAAUGUGCGAAAGCACGACAAGGUUAAUCCGAGUGAUUUCUGCUAAAGAGAUCUUUUGUUAGUUCUAGAAACACUAACGAAUAAGGGGUGGGCAAGUUCUGGUGUCAGCCGCCGCGGUAAAACCAGCACCUCAAGUGGUCAGGAUGAUUAUUGGGCCUAAAGCAUCCGUAGCCGGCUCUGUAAGUUUUCGGUUAAAUCUGUACGCUCAACGUACAGGCUGCCGGGAAUACUGCAGAACUAGGGAGUGGGAGAGGUAGACGGUACUCGGUAGGAAGUGGUAAAAUGCUUUGAUCUAUCGAUGACCACCUGUGGCGAAGGCGGUCUACCAGAACACGUCCGACGGUGAGGGAUGAAAGCUGGGGGAGCAAACCGGAUUAGAUACCCGGGUAGUCCCAGCUGUAAACUAUGCAAACUCAGUGAUGCAUUGGCUUGUGGCCAAUGCAGUGCUGCAGGGAAGCCGUUAAGUUUGCCGCCUGGGAAGUACGUACGCAAGUAUGAAACUUAAAGGAAUUGGCGGGGGAGCACCACAAGGGGUGAAGCCUGCGGUUC
rnacentral:rRNA from 1 species